CUCCUUUGACGUUAGCGGCGGACGGGUUAGUAACACGUGGGUAACCUACCUAUAAGACUGGGAUAACUUCGGGAAACCGGAGCUAAUACCGGAUAAUAUUUCGAACCGCAUGGUUCGAUAGUGAAAGGUGGUUUUGCUAUCACUUAUAGAUGUACCCGCGCCGUAUUAGCUAGUUGGUAAGGUAACGGCUUACCAAGGCGACGAUACGUAGCCGACCUGAGAGGGUGAUCGGCCACACUGGAACUGAGACACGGUCCAGACUCCUACGGGAGGCAGCAGCC
rnacentral:rRNA from 1 species